rnacentral:rRNA from 1 species
AUACGUAGGGGGCGAGCGUUGUCCGGAUUUACUGGGCGUAAAGGGUACGCAGGCGGCCAUGUAAGUCAGAUGUGAAAGCCCAGGGCUUAACCCUGGUAAGCAUUUGAAACUGUGUGGCUUGAGUUAAGGAGAGGAAAGUGGAAUUCCUGGUGUAGCGGUGAAAUGCGUAGAUAUCAGGAGGAAUACCAGUGGCGAAGGCGACUUUCUGGACUUAUACUGACGCUGAGGUACGAAAGCGUGGGGAGCAAACAGGAUUAGAUACCCUGGUAGUCCACGCCAUAAACGAUGAGUGCUAGGUGUCGGGGGUCAAACCUCGGUGCCGCAGUUAACACAUUAAGCACUCCGCCUGGGGAGUACGUUCGCAAGAAUGAA